rnacentral:rRNA from 1 species
GUAGGUGGCAAGCGUUGUCCGGAAUUAUUGGGCGUAAAGCGCGCGCAGGCGGUUCUUUAAGUCUGAUGUGAAAGCCCACGGGCUCAACCGUGGAGGGUCAUUGGAAACUGGAGAACUUGAGUACAGAAGAGGAAAGCGGAAUUCCACGUGUAGCGGUGAAAUGCGUAGAGAUGUGGAGGAACACCAGUGGCGAAGGCGGCUUUCUAGUCUGUAACUGACGCUGAGGCGCGAAAGCGUGGGGAGCAAACAGGAUUAGAUACCCUGGUAGUCCACGCCGUAAACGAUGAGUGCUAAGUGUUAGGGGGUUUCCGCCCCUUAGUGCUGCAGCUAACGCAUUAAGCACUCCGCCUGGGGAGUACGGCCGCAAGGCUG